rnacentral:rRNA from 1 species
CGGAAUUCCUGGUGUAGCGGUGAAAUGCGCAGAUAUCAGGAGGAACACCGGUGGCGAAGGCGGUUCUCUGGGCCUUACCUGACGCUGAGGAGCGAAAGCGUGGGGAGCGAACAGGAUUAGAUACCCUGGUAGUCCACGCUGUAAACGUUGGGCGCUAGGUGUGGGGGUCUUCCACGAUCUCCGUGCCGGAGCUAACGCAUUAAGCGCCCCGCCUGGGGAGUACGGCCGCAAGGCUAAAACUCAAAGGAAUUGACGGGGGCCCGCACAAGCGGCGGAGCAUGUUGCUUAAUUCGACGCAACGCGAAGAACCUUACCAAGG